GGCUAACAUAAAAGUAAUUCUAGGUGGCGGAAGACGUCACUUCCUUUCGAACAAAUUAUUUGACAAAGAAGCUCAGAAAUAUGGGUUAAGAACAGAUGGCAGGGACAUGGUAUCACAAUGGGCUAAGGACAAGGAAGACCGUAACAGCACAGCUGUAUACGUCACCAACCUCAAGGACUUCAAAAAAGUCGAUGUGGACCAGACUGACUACUUG